rnacentral:tRNA from 1 species
ACAAUGGUGGUUCAGUGGUAGAUUUCUCACCUUCUGUAUGGGAGACCCAGGUUCGAUUUCUGGCUAGUGCA